UGGCACUGACAGGGGCUCCCGACCAUUUGGCUCUUGAUUCUUCAGGGAAAGCAGCUGUAGAGAAAGGGGCAUACACAACACCGGCGUCACCCGCGCACUCACACGCGCGCACCCUCGUUCGCACGCAUUCCGGUACCGUCACCUCGGAGCCAGCCAGCCUUGGGAUCCAAAUCCAGUUCGGCUGCCUUCCGCCACCGGCACUCCAGUCGUCGUCCCCCACGAGCCUCCCUGCCCCCUGCUCCUGAUUCCCUUUCAGGAAUUUACAAACAUUUUCCACAGAUCAAUAUCUGUAUUGAUUAUUCAUUGUGAGGGAGUCGUGUGUCUUUGGUGAUCCAGCUUGCAGAGGUAGCAGCCAAAGCCUGCUGCAGGGGAGAAAAAACAACAGAAGGCGAGAGGGACCCAGCUCUUGCUGGGUCUGCGGCUGUCGGCAACACAGAAAGGAAGAAAGAGGAAGGCGCUGGCAAACGAAGGAGCGGAUGAGGGUGGAGGAGAAAGAGGGAGCAACAGCAAGAAAGACGAAGCCAUGGCUGCACACCUGGUCCCAGGGCUUGGCUGGGAGGAAGCCCCCAUCUUGUGUCUGCUGUUCCGCUCACGGUGCCCUGGGCUCCCUCUGCUUGGGGAGCCAGAAGUGACUCACAGUUUUGGCAUCUCCUACGUAAGAGCUUUGGGGGGAUUCCUUGGCUUGCUGACAGGAGAGGAAGAAAGCAGCAGCAGUGAGGUAAAACACGAUUACUUCCAACUGCCUGGCGGAGGACACGCAGUCGCUUGGCUUGCCUGGAACAGCUUGCAGCUCUGUGAUGGCACGCGGAGGGAGAAUAAUUAAAAAGGCCAGCAUCACUUACUAAAUACCUCAGUACAUUGCAAGUUUCCUGAGCAGGAGACAUACAUCCUGCAGAAGUGUGCCUUGGAGACUCAAAGGAGGAGAAAUUAAGCCAGUUGUGGAUGACUCGGAUAUCUUACACUGCAUGUCUUCAGCAUUCAUAGAGACCUAUGUCUAUAAGCAACUUGAACCUCAGGAAGGCUGAGGUCACAGCCCAUCGGCCAAGGUUACACACAGCUCAUGGAAUAACAUUCAUCUCUGAUUGGAGUUUUCACCAGCUGAAGCUGAAAAAAAAAA
ensembl:lncRNA